rnacentral:rRNA from 1 species
GACGUAGGGGGCAAGCGUUGUCCGGAAUCAUUGGGCGUAAAGCGCUCGUAGGUGGAUCGGUAAGUCUGCAAAGAAAGACCCGGGCUCAACUCGGGGAACGGUGUGGAUACUACCGAUCUUGAGGCAAUCAGAGGAUGAUGGAAUUCCCGGUGCAGCGGUGAAAUGCGUAGAUAUCGGGAGGAACACCAGUGGCGAAGGCGAUCAUCUGGGGUUGUUCUGACACUGAGGAGCGAAAGCUAGGGGAGCAAACGGG